rnacentral:misc_RNA from 1 species
GAAAUGCGAUAAGUAGUGUGAAUUGCAGAAUUCAGUGAAUCAUCGAAUCUUUGAACGCAGAUUGCGCCCUUUGGUAUUCCAAAGGGCAUGCCUGUUCGAGCGUCAUUUGUACCCUCAAGCUUUGCUUGGUGUUGGGCGUCUUGUCUCCAGUUCGCUGGAGACUCGCCUUAAAGUAAUUGGCAGCCGGCCUACUGGUUUCGGAGCGCAGCACAAGUCGCGCUCUCUUCCAGCCAAGGUCAGCAUCCACAAAGCCUUUUUUCAACUUUUGACCUCGGAUCAGGUAGGGAUACCCGCUGAACUUAAGC